GAAAUGCGAUAAGUAGUGUGAAUUGCAGAAUUCAGUGAAUCAACGAAUCUUUGAACGCACAUUGCGCCCCUUGGUAUUCCAUGGGGCAUGCCUGUUCGAGCGUCAUUUGUACCCUCAAGCUCUGCUUGGUGUUGGGUGUUUGUCCCCGUCUCCGCGCGUGGACUCGCCCCAAAGUGAUUGGCAGCCGGCGUACUGGUCCCGGAGCGCAGCACAUGUCGCGCAAACGAGUGCCUUGGUACGGCGGCGUCCAUAAGCCCCUCUCUCACGCUCUUGACCUCGGAUCAGGUAGGGAUACCCGCUGAACUUAAGC
rnacentral:misc_RNA from 1 species